rnacentral:rRNA from 1 species
GAUGAACGCUGGCGGCGUGCUUAACACAUGCAAGUCGAACGGGAAACCUUUUAUUGAAGCUUCGGCAGAUUUAACUGGUUUCUAGUGGCGGACGGGUGAGUAACGCGUGGGUAACCUGCCUUGUACAGGGGGAUAACAGUCAGAAAUGACUGCUAAUACCGCAUAAGCGCACAGGACCGCAUGGUCCGGUGUGAAAAACUCCGGUGGUAUAAGAUGGACCCGCGUUGGAUUAGCUAGUUGGCAGGGUAACGGCCUACCAAGGCGACGAUCCAUAGCCGGCCUGAGAGGGUGAACGGCCACAUUGGGACUGAGACACGGCCCAGACUCCUACGGGAGGCAGCAGUGGGGAAUAUUGCACAAUGGGGGAAACCCUGAUGCAGCGACGCCGCGUGAAGGAAGAAGUAUCUCGGUAUGUAAACUUCUAUCAGCAGGGAAGAAAAUGACGGUACCUGA